UGUUUCAUAAAUGUUUUGUUUGUCAACAUGCCUCAAGAAAUAAAAGAAAAAGGGAUUCAGAAGGGAACAGUGGAUGUACAUCUACAAUUGAUAUUAAAAUUUAAAAAAAUAAUAAAGCAACACGGAAAAAUGAUCAAUUUUUAAAAGAAAACCAACCUUUGGCAGAUUUGCCAGAGAUGACGGCCAAUGCUAGACUAAAUCCAACGUAUAAUAUGCUGAAAAAAUGUUUAUAACAGAUGGAGAAAUGAUAAUUUUGGAUAGUGUUAAAAGAUUAAAGGAGAAAAUAACAUAUUACACCGAAAAACGUAUAACAAUUUAUACAACAGAUGAAGAUCAACAUCCUUGGGCAAUUUUGGUGGUUACGCCUAUAAUGAAGAAGUGUCAAGAACUGGUUUACUCUAGAGAAGUUAUUUUUAUAGAUACCACUUACAGUAUAGAUGCUAAUCAUUCUUCUCUAUCAUUUUGACAGCUUCUAAAGCUGGUGCUCUUCCCUUAUGUAUGCUAGGUCAUGAGGAGCAAACUGAGGAAAGUUAUACAAAAGCUUUUCUAUUACUGAAAAGCUCUAACAACAAACCUUUUGGUACAUGUGAGCAUCCAUAUAGCUUUCAUGACCGACCACUCAGCUGGAGAAAAAAAUGCAUUGAAAACGGUCUGGCCAGGGUCACGACAAUUGCUAUGCCAUUUUCAUGUUGCCCAGGCAGAAUGGCGUUGGUUAAUGUCCGCUAAAAACGGAAUUCCUGGAGAUAUAAGGCAAACUUACAUGAAGGCCUUUAAAAAAGUACAAUAUUAUAUCAUAUUUCAACUUGUCACCAAAUAAGUUUUCCUAUGACUACCAGUUUUCAUCAAAAUGGAAACUGUUUGAUUUAUUAUUAUCAUAUUGAUAAUUUUGGCCUUUUAUAAAAGUGCAAAAGAAUGAGUAAUAUCAUGAAGCAAAGUUCGAUAACAUGUGUGUAG
rnacentral:lncRNA from 1 species